rnacentral:rRNA from 1 species
AGAGUUUGAUCCUGGCUCAGGAUGAACGCUGGCGGUCUGCUUAACACAUGCAAGUCGAACGGACGUUUUCGGACGUUAGUGGCGGACGGGUGAGUAACGCGUGAGAAUCUGCCUUCAGGUUGGGGACAACAGUUGGAAACGACUGCUAAUACCCAAUGUGCCGAGAGGUGAAAGCUUUAGUGCCUGAGGAUGAGCUCGCGUCUGAUUAGCUAGUUGGAGUGGUAAUGGCACACCAAGGCGACGAUCAGUAGCUGGUCUGAGAGGAUGAUCAGCCACACUGGGACUGAGACACGGCCCAGACUCCUACGGGAGGCAGCAGUGGGGAAUUUUCCGCAAUGGGCGCAAGCCUGACGGAGCAAGACCGCGUGAGGGAGGAAGGCUCUUGGGUUGUAAACCUCUUUUAUCAGGGAAGAAGCUCUGACGGUACCUGAUGAAUCAGCAUCGGCUAACUCCGUGCCAGCAGCCGCGGUAAUACGGAGGAUGCAAGCGUUAUCCGGAUUUAUUGGGCGUAAAGCGUCCGCAGGUGGUUUUACAAGUCUGCUGUUAAAGCGCGAGGCUUAACCUCGUACAGGCAGUGGAAACUGUGAGACUAGAGUAUGGUAGGGGUAGCGGGAAUUCCCAGUGUAGCGGUGAAAUGCGUAGAUAUUGGGAAGAACACCAGCGGCGAAAGCGCGCUACUGGGCCAUUACUGACACUCAUGGACGAAAGCUAGGGGAGCGAAAGGGAUUAGAUACCCUAGUAGUCC